rnacentral:rRNA from 1 species
GACAGAGGGUGCAAACGUUGCUCGGAAUCACUGGGCGUAAAGGGCGUGUAGGCGGGAAGGUAAGUCGGGCGUGAAAUCCCUGAAGCUCAACUCAGGAACUGCACUCGAAACUACUUUUCUUGAGUGCCGGAGAGGAAAGCGGAAUUCCUGGUGUAGAGGUGAAAUUCGUAGAUAUCAGGAGGAACACCAGUGGCGAAGGCGGCUUUCUGGACGGUAACUGACGCUGAGACGCGAAAGCGUGGGGAGCAAACAGG